rnacentral:lncRNA from 1 species
UUUCAACCGACUGGUUAAGAUCGGUAGCUACCGGUUAUGACCAGUUCAUUGCUCCUUAUGGCUCGUGAACUAACUGGUUGGGGCACCGGUUUCCGGUCCGUCUUGGUCUUAAUUUCAUUAUUGACAAGUCUUGGGGAAAAAAAUGUAUUUGCAACUUUUGGGCACUAGAGCGUCCCUUGUCAUGAAUUUGUUGAGCUUUCCUUUUGUCACUUUUUCCAAGUCUUUCCUUUUGUAACUAUUUGGCGAGUCUAUGGAAAUGUACUGUGAGCUAAGAUGCCUGGUUUCAGUUACGGAUAUAAAUACUAUGAGCUAAGAUGCCUGGUUUCUAUGUUAAUGGUAUAUAUUUGGCACCCGCAUAGGUGCAGUGCUGUUAGGACCAUCCUUGUGAGGGUGCCGUCCAGUCCAAGCUGGUCAGAUCAGCCAGUUCAUUAGUCAAAAUGGUCGGAAAAUCUGAACAAAGCAUUAUGAAAAUUGAAAAAAUCCAUUUUGAACCAGCUAAUUCUACGAAAUCGGCAAGUUUUAACCAACUGGUUAAGAUCGGUAGCUACGGGUUAGGACUGAUUCAUUGCUCCUUGUGGCUAGUGAACUAACUGGUUUGGGCACCGGUUCCCGGUCCGUCCCGGUCUUAAUUUCAUUAUUGACAAGUAUUGGGGAAAAAAAUGUAUUUGCAACUUUUGAGCACUAGAGCAUCCCUUGUCAUGAGUUGGUUGAGCUUUCCUUUUGUCACUUUUUGGCAAGUCUUUCCUUUUGUUACUAUUUGGCGAGUCUAUGGUAAUGUACUGUGAGUUAAGAUGCCUAGUUUCAGAUACGGAUAUAAAUACGAUGAGCUAAGAUGCCUGGUUUCUAUGUUAAUGGAAUAUAUUUGGCACCCGCAUCGAAGCAGUGCUGUUAAGACCAUCCUUUUGAGGGUGCCCUCCCGUCCAAACUGGUCAGAUCAGCCAGUUCAUUAGUCAAAAUGGUUGGAAAAUCGGAACAAAGCAUUAUGAAAAUUUAAAAAAUCCAUUCUGAACCAGCUAGUUCAACGAAAUCGGCAAGUUUUAACCUACUGGUUAAGAUCGGUAGCUACUGGUUAUGACCGGUUCAUUGCUCCUUAUGGCUCGUGAACUAACUGGUUGGGGCACUGGUUCCCUGUCUGUCCCGGUCUUAAUUUCAUUAUUGACAAGUAUUGGGGAAAAAAAUGUAUUUGCAACUUUUGGGCACUAGAGCAUAUCCCUUGUCAUGAAUUGGUUGAGCUUUCCUUUUGUCAUUUUUUGGCAAGUCUUUCCUUUUGUAACUAUUUGGCGAGUCUGUGGAAAUGUACUGUGAGCUAAGAUGCCUGGUUUCAGUUAUGGAUAUAAAUACUAUGGGCUAAGAUGCCUGGUUUUUAUGUUAAUGGUAUAUAUUUUGCACCUGCAUAGAAGCAGUGCUGUUAGGACGAUCCUUGUGAGGGUGCCGUCCAGUCCAAACUGGUCAGAUCAGCCAGUUCAUUAGUCAAAAUGGUCGGAAAAUCUGAACAAAGCAUUAUGAAAAUUUAAAAAAUCCAUUCUGAACCUUCUAGUUCAACGAAAUCGGCAAGUUUCAACCAACUGGUUAAGAUCGGUAGCUACCGGUUAUGACCAGUUCAUUGCUCCUUAUGGCUCGUGAACUAACUUGGUUGGGGCACCGGUUCUCGGUCCGUCCCGGUCUUAAUUUCAUUAUUGAUAAGUAUUGGGGAAAAAAAUGUAUUUGCAACUUUUGGGCACUAGAGCAUCCCUUGUCAUGAAUUGGUUGAGCUUUCCUUUUGUCACUUUUUGGCAAGUCUUUCCUUUUGUAACUAUUUGGCGAGUCCAUGGAAAUGUACUGUGAGCUAAGAUGCCUGGUUUCAGUUACGGAUAUAAAUACUAUGAGCUAAGAUGCCUGGUUUGUAUGUUAUUGGUAUAUAUUUGGCACCCGCAUAGAAACAGUGCUGUUAGGACCAUCCUUGUGAGGGUGCCGUCCAGUCCAAACUGGUCAGAUCGGCCAGUUCAUUAGUCAAAAAGGUCGAAAAAUCUGAACAAAGCAUUAUGAAAAUUUUAAAAAUCCAUUCUGAACCAACUGGUUCAACGAAAUUGGCAAGUCUUAACCAACUGGUUAAGAUCGGUAGCUACGGGUUAUGACCGAUUCAUUGCUCCUUAUGGCUAGUGAACUAACUGGUUGGGGCAUCGGUUCCCG